GACGAACGCUGGCGGCGUGCUUAACACAUGCAAGUCGAACGGAAAGGCCCUGCUUUUGUGGCGUGCUCGAGUGGCGAACGGGUGAGUAACACGUGAGUAACCUGCCCUUGACUUUGUGAUAACUUCAGGAAACUGGGGCUAAUACCGGAUAGGAUCUCCUGCUGCAUGGUGGGGGUUGGAAAGUUUCGGCGGUUGGGGAUGGACUCGCGGCUUAUCAGCUUGUUGGUGGGGUAGUGGCUUACCAAGGCUUUGACGGGUAGCCGGCCUGAGAGGGUGACCGGCCACAUUGGGACUGAGAUAGGGACCAGAAUCGUACGGGAGGCAGCAGUGGGGAAUAUUGCACAAUGGGCGGAAGCCUGAUGCAGCAACGCCGAGUGCGGGAUGACGGCCUUCGAGUUGUAAACAGCUUUCGCCUGUGACGAAGAGUGAGUGACGGUAAUGGGUAAAGAAGCACCGGCUAACUACGUG
rnacentral:rRNA from 1 species